CUCCACCCCCACCCCCACCAACGGCCUACUUUAUGUGAUGGUGAAACGUGUGAACUUGAUCUCUGCUAACUCGUUUUCAGUGAACAGCCACGACUUCCUACUUCCUCUCUUUUCUAUAGCUUUAAAUACAACGCUUCUGCUUGUCCCCGUCCCCCCCCUCCUCCUGCCCUUACCUGGGUGAUGAUUGCAUAUUGACGGUGGGGCGCUGGUUAUAAUACCCUGUCAACCUUACUCAACCCUAGCCCCACCCACCCCUACCCCGCUCCAACCCCCCGGCCCCUGCUGGGGGUCUCGAGAAGGGCCUUCUGAGAACAUUGUGGUGUGCUGGGAACACGGCAUGGAGUACUGUGGAUGGGGCCCCGGGGUCGGUAUUGGAGGCCAUUCCUUGUUUUGUCUUUGUCAGACGUCCCUCUCAAGUGCAAAGUGGUCAGCGCUUUUAGCCUCGUCCAUGCUGAGGACCAGCGCUCCUUCCCCGUGCGUGUAGACACGGAUGAGGGGGGACCAGGUGGGAUAGGGCUUCCUUAAGACCAGGGUGGAGAUCCUGAUUGAGGUGGUGGGGAGGGUGCUAUGGGCUGGCCCUCCUCCUCUCAUGUACCACAAUGUAGACCUUUAUUUUGGCGCCUGAUUGAUUCCUUUCGGAUUGUUGCUUAAAACAAAAUUAAAGUUGGUCGUGAUGUGUAGGCUUUUAUAUAUACACGCCGUAAUUGUAGCGUACUCUGUUAAUAGAAACGUCUAGAUCACUCAAUGCAAAACACAUGUAAAAUAUACGCAAGCGUCCAGGGGUCUCCACCCUGAAGCCUAUCCUGUCAACCCCUCUCGGGAGACUUUGAAACAGGGGGGCCGAUAGGAGGAAUGGGCGUUACCCCAUUCUGAAGUCCCUUCCUGUAGCCCAUCAUCCUACCAUCCCCCUGCCUGUAUGUUCUGCAAGCCAACCCCCCCGCCUUCCCACCCCACAAUGUUUUAUGGCUCAGUAUGAUGUCACUCCACUAAGUGGCUGCUGCAUGUACUGCUCUCAAAGUAAAAAAAACACAAGACUAUAUAGAGAAAUAUAUAUAUAAAUAAAUAGAUGGCUAUGAUUUUAUGAUUCUUUUUGUAUGAUGAUCUGACUUCAUGACUCACACAGGAGACCUGUGUAUGUAUAACCUCUGCCUCUGCCAAACAUCUCCUACCUAGUACUCUCCUACACACCCCACAGACCGUGGCGUCGUUUGUUAACUAAACCUUGUUAGAUAUUUGUAAAUGCUGUAGUGUGAAAUAUUUGCUCCUGAGCCCCUCAUUCUUUUUGUUCCCUUUUCCCCCAAAUAUGAGUUACGUUUUUUUUGCAAAUGAGAAGAGAAAAAAAGAAAAAAAACAAUCACUCUUUUGUGUCUGGCUUUGACAUGACGAUCUUACUAACACCGUUAUAUUGUAACUGAACUAUGUAUGAUCUCCUCCCCUUACAGCCUACUUUAAAAAGGACAAAAAAAAAAAAAAAAACGAUGUGCAAAAAAAUAUACAUAUAUGUAGUGUAUGCUUGUAUUUAGUAAGCAUUUGGGCUGUCAUUCUUUCCUAAUGUAUGGUGGUGACAAAAUGGUGGUAAUGUGCUGGACCCAAAUGGAUCAGCACAGAUCUGUUGUAAAACCUUUUUUCACCCACACAUCAACUGUGACGGUGAAGUAGUAAAUCCAUUUUAUUUUUGGCAUUUUUUUUUAUUUGGUCUAAAUGGAUACCGUGAUAAUGUGUUCUGUUUCUAAAAUCACUAAUAAAGUUUUCUUUCUAAAAAUGA
ensembl:lncRNA